GACGUAGGAGGCGAGCGUUAUCCGGAUUUACUGGGUGUAAAGCGCAUGCAGGCGGAUCGGUAAGUUCGGUGUGAAAGCUCCUGGCUCAACUGGGAGAGGUCGCUGAAGACUGCCGGACUGGAGCGUGGUAGGGGAAGGCGGAAUUCCGGGUGUAGUGGUGAAAUGCGUAGAUAUCCGGAGGAACACCAGUGGCGAAGGCGGCCUUCUGGACCACGACUGACGCUCAGAUGCGAAAGCUAGGGGAGCAAACGGG
rnacentral:rRNA from 1 species